rnacentral:rRNA from 1 species
UACGUAGGGGGCAAGCGUUGUCCGGAUUUAUUGGGCGUAAAGAGCGUGUAGGCGGCCUUACAGGUCAGCUGUGAAAACUCGAGGCUCAACCUCGAGACGCCGAUGGAAACCCUCAGACUAGAGUCCGGAAGAGGAGAGUGGAAUUCCUGGUGUAGCGGUGAAAUGCGCAGAUAUCAGGAAGAACACCCGUGGCUAAGGCGGCUCUCUAGUACGUGACUGACGCUGAGACGCGAAAGCGUGGGGAGCGAACAGG